GGGCCAUUAACUCAGUUGGCAGAGUCGCGGACUUUUAAUCCGUUGGUCGAAGGUUCGAGUCCUUCAUGGCCCACCA
rnacentral:tRNA from 1 species